rnacentral:lncRNA from 1 species
GCCGGGUGCAGUGGCUCACACCUGUAAUCGCAGCACUCUGGGAGGCCGAGGUGGGCAGAUCACCUGAGGUCAGGAGUUUGAGACCAGCCUGGAGCCUGGCCAACAUGGCGAAACCCUGUCUCUACUAAAAAUACAAAAAUUAGCUGGUGUGGUGGCAUGCGCCUGCCAGCUACUUGGGAGUAAUCCCAGCUACUCAGGAGGCUGAGGCUGGAGAAUUGCUUGAACCCAGGAGGCAGAGGCUGCAGUGAGCUGCGAUCAUGCCACUGCACUCCAGCCUGGGCCACAGAGUGAGACUCCGUACCCCCACCCCCAACAAAAAAGAAAAAAAGAAAAAGAAAAAUUAGCAUUCCCCCCUCCCCUCUGAUAGCUGGGUCCACCUUCCUGGCCCCACAUCUUAGUGUUGGAUGGCGCUGUGCUUGCUGACCACGUGUCACUUGCACACUUUCCCCAGCUUCAGUCUGCCAGGAUAGGGUGACAGCAUGGGGCCCAGGACCCACAGGGAGGAGACCAGCAGAGGCAGGUGGGAUCAGGACUUGACCUUCCUCUUUCAAUAACUCUAAAUUAGUUCUUGCUACUUUCACUCGUUCAGGUUGACAGACUCCCUGAGACAUGCAGACGUGACUUCCUAAGCAUCAUUCGUGCGUCCAUCCCAGCCCUGCCGGACCAUGUCUGACCUGGGCUCAGGAUGGCACUGGCACCCAGGGGUGAUUUAGGGGUUAGGUUUCAGCGGGCUCUACCUGAGGUGGGCUCAGGUCACAGAGCACAGCCAGGAAGGAGAACCAAGCUCUUCUAGAAGUGUAUGGAAAGAGUUCCAGGAGGAAGAGCUGCCAGGCUGGGCCUGGAGUUGGCCAGGAUCAAGGCUGGCUGCAACAUUUAUCCAGGCCCAAACCCAACAUAGACGGAGUCCAGCCCCACCAGGCAUGGUAGCAUUUUUUGUGAUCUGGAGUAAGACCCUCUACUGGCAACUUCACUGGAAAUUCCCUGGGUUCUAAGGAAGGAAUGAACCUUGUUGGACUCCAGGGGGUCAAGGGGAAUCCUGGAUGUUAGCAUGAGAGCCCCAGAUGAGCCUGAGCUUCUGUUCAGUCCUGCCACCCAUCCUGCCUGGAGAGCCUGGGUCCAGGAAAGAGACCUCUGGAGGUCCUUGCUUUUGCAAAGGAAGCAGUUUUUCACACAGUAGUCCAGCUUUUGGAUGGGGUGAGAAAGAAGGCAAUGGAGAAAGGAAAGGUCUGCAUUUCUGGAAUGACAAAGCUUUAAGUCACAAUGAUUGUAGCUUCCAAGUAGACCACUGAGGCCUCUCUCUGCCUUGACAUUUCAUCUACAGCUUCUGUGGCCAACUACUAGCGUCCAGUGUUGUUUCAGUUGAGAUUCCUGAUGAGCCCAGUUUUAUCUUUUUGCACCCUCCUUCAAUUUCCUUGUGUGUAAAAUGGGAUGACCAUCUCCUCGGUAAGAUGUCAGGUGGUGAGCACAGUGCCUGCAUGUGGUAAGUGCUAAAGAAAAGUAAUUAGAAUCAGUAAAACUGAAGAACUCUUUAGAAAAAGCAGUCACCUGUGCUGGCUGAGCUUGUGUAAAAGAAAGAUUUACUGACUCAGUUUUAAUUUCUGUGAAUACACCUUUGUGUAGUGAGGAGCAAACCAAGAGGACUGAGCCUUGGGCCUGCCAGCAACUCACCUGAUGCCUUUCUCUGGGCCUCAGUUUUUCUCUCUCUGAAGUGGAUGUGUGUCAUAUGACCCAGAGAUUUCUAAUCUAUCUUCUCCAGCUAGAUUCUUGCAUUAGGGGUGAACUUGUUCAUUGGGUAGAGUUGCUUCCCCUGGUUUGGAGAGGCAGCAUUUGCAGCCCCAGAGGCUAUCAGGGAUAAGGGUGUUGGGCCAAGAAUAGCUGGGCCAGGAGCAAUAAACUGUUAAGGGCUUGAUGAGUCUGAGCAACUGACCAAUAACAUCCAAUGCCCCUGGAACCUGGCAACUCCAACUUUAGGUGGCAGAGGAUUAAACACAUUUUGCCUCAAGGUGAGUCUGUACAGGUCCCCAGUGGUCUCUGGGCCUGCCUUCCAGCUCUGUGAGGAACAGGAGCUGAGCAAGUGCCUACAGUCACCACGCUGCCUACAGUGUCCAGGGGAUUCUAGCCUGGAUAGGAAAACUGGCUUGGCUGAGUGGACUGUCCCAGGGUGAGGAUCUGGGAAUGAGCAUAUGGGGAUGGCAGACUACCACACGCCCUGGAAGCUGGAGAGGAAGGAGGCACCCAGGACAGAAGGUGAGGUUGCCCCAGGUCAACAACUUCCAGAUGAGAUCCACCUUGAGUCAUGAUCCUCAGAUGCCAAGCCACAGGAACCUCAUCACCCACCUCAUCAUCCAAACUGGAACUUGAUGGAAAUCAUUCCACAACUAUGUGUUGGUGGGUUGUCUUCUUAAUACUUGGAAGGAGGUCUUAAUACUUAUCCCACUGAAAUCAUGCUACCUACACCUAGCAAAACAUACAUCAAAGAAAAACUUCUAACUGGGUAUAUCACAUGCCCACUGUACUAACACACUGGAGAACCCCCAACAACAGGAGGCCCGGGGAGAGUCCCUGACCCACAGGGACUUCAGGUCAAGACCACACCCACCAUCCUUUCAAGGUGGAGACAGUCCCCGUAGGAACCAAACUGAUGUAUAAUAAAACUCAUCAUUUAUUUCUCUUCUCCCUACAGCAUUUCAGCCAGUGAAUGGUAGAAUUUUGCAGGAAUAAGAAUUAGAGGUGUAGAGGGUUUUGAGAUGCGGGGUGGGUCAGGUUUCACUACUCAAGGACCCUAAGACAGGUUUUUGGAAGAAGUGUGUGUGUGUGUGUGUGUGUGUGUGUGUGUGUGUGUAGGACCACAUUCAGCCACUCCCAUGGGCAAGUAUGACAUAUGACCACUCCUCUCUUCUUGCCCCCUGGCCUCCUUAACCUAGAAGUCACCUUGCUGGCUCAUGGGAUUCCUUGAUACUUCUGCAAUCCAGCUUCUCCGCUCCAACAGGCUGUCCCUGCCCAGCUGAGCUGGCCCACCCAGGGUUCCCUCACAGUGCUAUGGGCCUCCACUGGCCCCCUCUGCACAGCCCAUCCUCUCCAAUCUUUCUUUCCAAAGUGAAAUCUACCAAUGCUUACUCUUUGGCUCUGGCCACAUGAGAGACAGACAGACAUACAGACACACACUUCUUUCUUUUUGCCUUGGCUCACCACUAUUCAAUGCCUGGAAGCCUUAUUUUCUCCCUUGGGAACCUCCACUCAGUCUUUACAACUGUCAUCUCCUCCAGGAAGUCAUCCCUGCUCUUCUUCC